UGGCCAGAGGGCUCGGUGUGAGGCCAGGAGACCCGGGCCAGCCUCUGUCUCUGUGACCUUCCCUGGACCUCAGAUUUCCUUCCACGAAGUCAGGAGGGGGUGAGGUCUGCAGGACUCUUCCCACUUACGGUUUUCUGGGGUUUCACCCGUGGCCUAAACGCCUUCAGAAUCGGCGCCCUCUGUCUGGCCCACCCUCCCGCAGAAGGGCAGGGCCAGGUCUCCAGCCCCGCCUUCGCCCUCCCAUCUUCUCAGGAGCACUGAAUGCCCGAGCAAGCAGAAGAGGAAGAGCCAGGUGUCAGAGUUCUGGGAUCCCAGGACAUGAAUCUUUUCCUGCCCCUCGGACAGAGGCUGGGCACAGAGACAGAACCGCUGGCAGGAGCUCUCACCACCUCCAGUGUGCAUUCUGUCCGCUUCCUGCCGUUGGCCUGAGUUGUGGCCUGUAGUUCUGGAUGCAAAUACCCCCACCCCAGCUGCAUGUGACGCAUGCUGAGCCGUCACUGAGCUGGAGGCGCUGUGCUGCGCGUGGCCGUCAAGUCUCACUUUCGUCUCAGAAUCUGGUGGACACCGUCGGUUUCUCCAUUUUACUGAACUUGAGAAAGCUGUGCCCAAUGUCACAUGGUUGUUCAGAAGACGACAAGGCUGAAGUCAAGGCAUCAGCAGGGCCACACUUCCUCUGAGACAUGGGUAGAACCCUUCCUUGUCUCUUCCUAGCUCCUAGUGGUGGCCAGCAAUCCUUGGCUUGCAGCAGCAUCACUCUGAUCUCUGCCUCGGUCGUCACGUGGAAUUCUCCC
rnacentral:lncRNA from 1 species